rnacentral:rRNA from 1 species
AGAGUUUGAUCCUGGCUCAGGACGAACGCUGGCGGCGUGCCUAACACAUGCAAGUCGAACGAGAAUCUUUGGAAUGAUUCUUUCGGGAUGAAUUCCAAAGAGGAAAGUGGCGGAUGGGCGAGUAACGCGUGAGUAACCUGCCCAUAAGAGGGGGAUAAUCCAUGGAAACGUGGACUAAUACCGCAUAUUGUAGUUAAGUUGCAUGACUUGAUUAUGAAAGAUUUAUCGCUUAUGGAUGGACUCGCGUCAGAUUAGAUAGUUGGUGAGGUAACGGCUCACCAAGUCAACGAUCUGUAGCCGAACUGAGAGGUUGAUCGGCCGCAUUGGGACUGAGACACGGCCCAGACUCCUACGGGAGGCAGCAGUGGGGAAUAUUGCGCAAUGGGGGCAACCCUGACGCAGCAACGCCGCGUGCAGGAAGAAGGUCUUCGGAUUGUAAACUGUUGUCGCAAGGGAAGAAGACAGUGACGGUACCUUGUGAGAAAGUCACGGCUAACUACGUGCCAGCAGCCGCGGUAAUACGUAGGUGACAAGCGUUGUCCGGAUUUACUGGGUGUAAAGGGCGCGUAGGCGGACUGUCAAGUCAGUCGUGAAAUACCGGGGCUUAACCCCGGGGCUGCGAUUGAAACUGACAGCCUUGAGUAUCGGAGAGGAAAGCGGAAUUCCUAGUGUAGCGGUGAAAUGCGUAGAUAUUAGGAGGAACACCAGUGGCGAAGGCGGCUUUCUGGACGACAACUGACGCUGAGGCGCGAAAGUGUGGGGAGCAAACAGGAUUAGAUACCCUGGUAGUCCACACCGUAAACGAUGGAUACUAGGUGUAGGAGGUAUCGACCCCUUCUGUGCCGCAGUUAACACAAUAAGUAUCCCACCUGGGGAGUACGACCGCAAGGUUGAAACUCAAAGGAAUUGACGGGGGCCCGCACAAGCAGUGGAGUAUGUGGUUUAAUUCGAAGCAACGCGAAGAACCUUACCUGGGCUUGACAUCCCUGGAAUCGAGUAGAGAUACUUGAGUGCCUUCGGGAAUC